GGUCUGCACCACUGUGCGGAUCAUGGGGGUGUGUAUACACAACCUGAACAAUGUAUGAGUUCACGCCCAGCCUCUUCAAUUUACUACGUACACAAAGCACAUUAUGCUGUUCGAACUUGAUGUUUUACGACCCCUGCGAGCCUACGUGUGCAAGGAAGUGCUUUCGAAUGUCGGGCCAGAUAUUUCUCCACCCCCUCAGUGCACAGUUGCACUGACCCUCCCCACUUGGUGGCCAUGUUCCUCCCACAGUGCCUGAGCAGCAGUCUUUGAGGGUGUCGGUCCUGGUUGGUGCGGAGUAACGCGUGGUGUGUGUGUGAGAUUUCAUUUUCUGGCACAGUAGCAGCAUGGCAGUCGCAGUGGGCAGGCAGUCUUCACCCAGUGAUGACAUUCGAACGCUCUCUAUGUCCGGCCAUGUUGGUUUUGACAGUCUUCCUGACCAGCUGGUAAACAAAUCCACAUCUCAGGGUUUUUGCUUCAAUAUACUCUGUGUUGGCGAGACAGGAAUUGGAAAAUCAACAUUAAUGGAUACUAUUUUCAAUACAAAGUUUGAAAAUGAGCCAGUGUCUCACAGUGAACCAGCAGUGCGGUUAAAAGCAAGAAGUUAUGAACUUCAAGAGAGCAAUGUGCGACUGAAGCUAACCAUUGUAGAUACUGUAGGAUUUGGGGACCAGAUAAAUAAAGACGACAGUUACAGACCCAUUGUGGAGUACAUUGAUGCACAGUUUGAAGCUUACCUCCAAGAAGAGCUCAAGAUCAAGAGAUCCCUGUAUAAUUAUCAUGAUACCAGGAUACAUGCCUGUCUUUACUUCAUUGCACCUACUGGACAUUCCUUGAAAUCACUUGAUUUGGUCACCAUGAAAAAGUUAGACAGUAAGGUAAACAUUAUUCCAAUAAUUGCAAAAGCAGAUACAAUUGCCAAAAACGAGCUCCACAAAUUCAAAAGCAAAAUUAUGAGUGAGUUGGUCAGCAACGGGGUGCAAAUCUACCAGUUCCCUACAGAUGAAGAGACCGUUGCAGAGAUCAAUGCAACAAUGAGUGUACACUUGCCCUUUGCUGUUGUUGGCAGUACAGAAGAAGUCAAAAUUGGCAAUAAAAUGGCUAAAGCAAGGCAAUAUCCUUGGGGUAUUGUGCAGGUUGAAAAUGAAAACCACUGUGACUUUGUGAAGCUCAGAGAAAUGCUUAUCAGAGUGAACAUGGAGGACCUAAGAGAGCAGACACAUGCUCGUCACUAUGAGCUGUACAGGCGUUGUAAGUUGGAGGAGAUGGGGUUCAAAGACACAGACCCUGACAACAAGCCAUUCAGUCUACAAGAAACCUAUGAAGCAAAAAGGAAUGAAUUCUUGGGAGACCUGCAAAAGAAGGAGGAGGAAAUGAGACAAAUGUUUGUCAUGAGAGUAAAAGAAAAAGAAGCUGAACUCAAAGAAGCAGAAAAAGAACUUCAUGAGAAAUUUGACCUCCUUAAGAGAACCCACCAGGAAGAGAAAAAGAAGCUAGAGGACAAAAAGAAAGAGAUAGAUGAUGAAGUUAACAUGUUCCAGAAGAAAAAAGCAGCCACACAGCUUCUCCAGUCCCAAGCUCAGCAGGCCGGCACUCAAACCAAGAAAGACAAGGACAAGAAAAACACCUUGCCUUUUCUGAUACAUUCCAAGAAGUGGCGGCCUGUGUUUUCCUUUUGACCUCUGGAUUUCAUUCUCUCCUGAUGCUGUCUUGCCUGCUUCCCCUCUGCUCAUAGUUAGUAAUCCUUGGCUGUGCACAGAAUAAAUGGCUCCGUUCCAAUCCUAAUUGGAUGUGCUUUUCCUCCUCUGCAUGUAAGUAUAAACGGUCCCUGGUUUUUGUAUUUGCUGACUUCCUUAUUGCUGCCAAUUACAAAUGAAAUCUGCCAAUACUUGAAACCAUGAGCGUUUAAAGAAAUUCUAAUGCUAAAUUACAAUUUGCGAUCUACACUGGCUGAAAUCUUAUUCCGUUGUUGUAGCCAUUAGGCUUCCUUCUUUAAACUCCUAGUUUGUUUCAUUAUUCUCUUAAGUAUGCAGAGAACCUAUUUGUGCAUCAUGUAAGGGGAACGAUAUCCGAUAUGUUUUCGCAUAUAUACUUUCAGAAAUACAUAUGUUAGUUAUUUUUUAAGGUUACUUUGACGUUUCUUUACAGAGUGGAUACCAUACCUUUUGGUAAUGCCUCAAAGGAUCAUGAAGUAAAGUCUCUUGUAACCAUAAUCGCACCCCUUACUACAUGGCAGUGCCCUUUGCUAACUUCUCAACAAAAAUGUUAAGUUUGUUUACAGACUGAUCCAUAAUUUGCCUGCAGAUAUUUCUGAACAUUGUUCAAUACUGCAUCAUGCUGUAUCACUGGCACGCAAAUAGUAUUUUAUUGUUAGAAUUUCUUGUAUUUUCUGCCUCUCAUCUUAAUUGGAGAGUUUAUGCUGCUUAUAGGAAAGCUGUAGCUGGUAUUUGUGUGUCUCUUAGGUGAAAGAACAUUCACAGUAGUUCUGGCUUAAAUGCCUUUGCAGAAGAGCAGAUGCCCAAAUGUUAAGAACUGGCUGAACGGAAAAAGGAAGUGAAGCGUACAGAGCUGCUUCCCUAAUAAACUUAAAGUAAAACCGUAAGAUCUAUAUACUGUGCAUGAAGUAUAUACGUAAGAAAUCUGUGGUCAACUGUAUAAAGCAAAUGUUUUGGGUUUUACGGUUACCAAUCGAAAAGUAUAGCAAAGUUCCAAGUGAUGCUUCUUAUAAUUGCAAGGCAACAGCUUUGAUUGGCUUAAUACGCUAAAAAGCAACAUUUAUUUAAAUUAACCUGUUGCAUAAUGUGAUCAUAUCCAUAUUGCACUGACUUAUAGAAGAAGUGCAUGUGCAGACCCCCCCCCCCCCCC